rnacentral:rRNA from 1 species
CCUACGGGAGGCAGCAGUGUCGUACGGGAGGCAGCAGUGGGGAAUCUUGCCCAAUCGAGGAAACUCUGAUGCAGCCAUGCCGCGUGAGUGAAGAAGGCCCUUGGGUUGGAAAGCUCUUUCUUCGGGGAAGAAAAUGACUGUACCCGAAUAAGAAGGUCCGGCUAACUUCGUGCCAGCAGCCGCGGUAAUACGAAGGGUCCUAGCGUUGUUCGGAAUUACUGGGCUUAAAGAGUUCGUAGGUGGUUGAAAAAGUUAGAGGUGAAAUCCCAGAGCUUAACUCUGGAACUGCCAUUAAAACUUUUCAUCUAGAGUAUGAUAGAGGAAAGCAGAAUUUCUAGUGUAGAGGUGAAAUUCGUAGAUAUUAGAAAGAAUACCAAUUGCGAAGGCAGCUUUCUGGAUCAUUACUGACACUGAUGAACGAAAGCUUGGGUCGCGAAAAGGAUUAGAUACCCUGGUAGAGGAUUAGAUACCCUGGUAG